CGAUCGUGACUCCCUCGACUCCAGCUUCUCCGAUGCAGAUGGAUUUUUGCACCAACAAGGCUGAAUACAAAACUUGUCAUAGAUCGCUGAGUGUCCACAUCUCCACCAAAAUUAGUAUCUACGAACCCUCCUAUCAGCCUUCAAGCCUCUUUGGACAUAUUAAAGAGUCCUUCAGCACUUCCUCACUAUCCAUAGCAAAUGCUGACUCCAACAGUACCCACCA
rnacentral:lncRNA from 1 species